rnacentral:lncRNA from 1 species
GCAGCACUUUACCUUCAAACAAAGUGUUCAUAUGGGAUCAGGCAAAAGCAGGUCCUGAAGGCAGGAUCCUGAAGAUCAGGCACCACCUGACAGUCCUGCUUCUUUAGAGGCCUGACAAAGAAGGCAGGCUUCUAGAGGGGACUCAACAAUGGGUCCAGUGAGACAACCACACGGCCAUUGUGGCUUCUGAUCCUAGUGAAUCAACUGGCAUAAAGUGGAGGUGCUGUGUUUGCUGAAAUUCUCAAGCACCUGACGCAUCACCUCUGCAGUGCAUCCCUUUCCAGAAGUCCACUUUCCUGAUUCACCACCAGUUGAAGUUUUAACAAUGGAAACACCAUCUGUGCAAGGUGUCCACAUUGCUAGCUGGGCGGUGAAUGAUUCAGCUCCAAAAUCCCAUUUGAUUGCCUGCUCUUUCCAGACACAACUGCAGCAAACUGGAUUGUCUAGACACAGAUGAUGAGACAGAGUUUAGGGUGCAAGAAGCUAACUAGGGAUCAACACCUGUGUAAGGAAGCAGGCAGAAGCACAAUUGAAGUUGAGGAAGAUGAAGAGGUUGAACUGCCCUGCAGGCCAGAUAGAGCCUUGCCAAACCAGUGGGGAACUCGGAGGAAGUCCUGCCUGCCAGUUUCCCAUGUGGAGCCGAAACAGUCGUGCUUUUAUCUCUCCACCUUGCUCAGUCACCAGAUGCAGGCCACGCCCAGAAGGGCAUGUUUUUCUCUGCAGCUCAGACUGAUGUUGAGGAGCUGGGAGCUGGAAGCCACCUGCUGACUGCACUCCCUGCAGCUGGUCAGCCCAUCCUUCUCGAGGGGCAUCUGAAUGGCAUCUUCAUCAGGUCUACAAUUUUAUGUACAUGCCACAUUCUGGGCUUUCCCACUUUGAAGCAAUUAUCAGUUAUGAAUGUUAGGAACACUUUGUACAAGUUUUACUGUGACCAAAUGCUUUCAUUUCUCUUGGGUAACUAUCUAGGAAUGGAAUUGCUGGGUCAUGAGGUAGGUGUAUGUUUAGUUUUAUAAGAAACUACUAAGGCU